rnacentral:lncRNA from 1 species
AGAAUACAGAGAGGAGCAAAGAGUAAUUAGACAGAAAAGGGCUGUUCACAGGCAAGCUGAAGCAGGAGAGAUGAAGCUUACAAAUUUCAUUUAAUUAUAGCCAGAUCACAAGAAGGCUUCUGGUAGGAAAAAGGCUUGUUGGGAGGACCAGGAACAUCCAUUUGGAUAUUUAUAUUUCCUCGAGGCUCUAACUGAACAAUAUAUUCAUGCUAUUUAAUUUUCACU